rnacentral:lncRNA from 1 species
AUAGAUAGAAAAAUAGGCGUACAGGUAGAUAUACCAAAAGAAUAGGGGGAAUUCUCUUCUCAGGGAAAAAUACACGCACAAAACAGAGAGGAGGAGGACCAUCAUCUGGAUCUUCUCCUUUUCCUCUUAGAACUCCAUUAUUGGCUUCUUCUUCACAGAACAUACACUGCGAUAAGGUGGGAAGGCACAAAUUGCACACACACACCCAGUGAUAAAAAUCGAGAAUGAAGAUAGUUUGAGAGAGAGAUCCAGUCAUUAUUUUGAGAAUUUCGGCAAAAAUUUUGCCAAAAUUAGGUUUUUAGUUCGUGUUCAAUCCGUCUAGUCCCCAAAUUUUGAAAUUUUAUCAUUUUUUAAUUUCAAGGCAUAACCGGCCAAAAACAUCAGAGAGUCGUUGAAAAACGUGAAUCAGCAGUGGUUCUUUCAUUGAAAUUAGUUCUAUUUUUUGGAUCAAUUUUGCAAUAUUUUUGCAUACGGACUGGUUUAUUCUAUUAUUUUGUUUUGGUUUUCAUCGGUCUUUGCUACUAAUUUGAGAAUUUGAAUCCUGUUCGCCUCGAAUUGUUCAUCGCAACCAGUUUUUGGGUUUUAAUUUUUGAUACCGAG